rnacentral:rRNA from 1 species
AUUGAACGCUGGCGGCAUGCUUUACACAUGCAAGUCGAACGGCAGCGCGGGCUUCGGCCUGGCGGCGAGUGGCGAACGGGUGAGUAAUGCAUCGGAACGUGCCCAGUAGUGGGGGAUAGCCCGGCGAAAGCCGGAUUAAUACCGCAUACGACCUGAGGGUGAAAGCGGGGGACCGAAAGGCCUCGCGCUAUUGGAGCGGCCGAUGUCGGAUUAGCUAGUUGGUGGGGUAAAGGCUUACCAAGGCGACGAUCCGUAGCUGGUCUGAGAGGACGACCAGCCAAACUGGGAAUGAGACACGGCCCAGAAUCCUACGGGGGGCAGCCGUGGGGAAUUUUGGACAAUGGGGGCAACCCUGAUCCAGCCAUGCCGCGUGCGAGAAGAAGGCCUUCGGGUUGUAAACCGCUUUUGUUCGGGAAGAAAUCCUCUGGGCUAAUACCCCGGGGGGAUGACGGUACCGGAAGAAUAAGCACCGGCUAACUACGUG